AGAGAGAGACAUGCGCGCAUAUCAAUAAGCGGAGGAAAAGAAACUAACAAGGAUUCCCUUAGUAACGGCGAGUGAAGCGGGAAGAGCUCAAAUUUGAAAUCUUCAAGGUUCUACCUUGACGAAUUGUAGUUUAUAGAAGUGUUUUCUGUUAGUGGAGCGGCAAAAGUUCUUUGGAAUAGGACAUCAUAGAGGGUGAGAAUCCCGUAUUUGGUCAUUCCUCCUAGCGUUGUGAUACACUUUCAACGAGUCGGAUUGUUUGGGAAUGCAGUCCAAAAUGGGUGGUAAAUUUCAUCUAAAGCUAAAUAUUGGCGAGAGACCGAUAGCGAACAAGUACCGUGAGGGAAAGAUGAAAAGAACUUUGAAAAGAGAGUUAAACAGUACGUGAAAUUGUCAAAAGGGAAGCGUUUGACACCAGUGUUGUUUUUCCGAAAAUCAAUUACGAAUGUUUUGUUUUUGAGGAGUUAUGACUUCAUCGGCUUGCUCCUUUCUUUACGAAACUUUCUUAAUGCACUUUUCGGUUAACAAGUCAACAUCAAUUUCUUUUGUUGUAAAAGGGUAUGAGGAAGGUGACUUUCUUUUCGGAGAAAGUGUUUUAUAGCCUUGUGCCUCUGCAAUCGGAGAGAUUGAGGUCUGCAGCGUAGAUCCUUCGGGGUUAGAUACAGUUUGUGCUAAGUUAUAGCUUUUCAUAGACAACUUGUUGACUAUGUUUAGUCUUGUAGCUUACUCGCUGAUGCUAUUUUACCUACGCUUAGGAUGUUGAUAGUCACAGCGUGUAC
rnacentral:rRNA from 1 species